rnacentral:rRNA from 1 species
UACGUAGGGUGCGAGCGUUGUCCGGAAUUACUGGGCGUAAAGAGCUCGUAGGCGGCUUGUCGCGUCGGAUGUGAAAGCCCGGGGCUUAACUCCGGGUCUGCAUUCGAUACGGGCAGGCUAGAGUUCGGUAGGGGAGAUCGGAAUUCCUGGUGUAGCGGUGAAAUGCGCAGAUAUCAGGAGGAACACCGGUGGCGAAGGCGGAUCUCUGGGCCGAUACUGACGCUGAGGAGCGAAAGCGUGGGGAGCGAACAGG